AUGGCCUUACUGGGCCAGUCUUCCAUUACAGCGAGGUCCAGUCCCGUGUGGGCUGUACCUCAGGAGAGGCGGCAGUGGCAUGACACCGUCAUAUUCAUCGGCGUCCUGGUUGAAGGUUUACAUAAUAGGCCACUGUAUGUGGCUACAUUGCAUAAUAGCAUCACCGAGAUCAAUCUUUUCCCUUGCUGUUUGCUUCUCAAGGAGGUGGCAAAGUCUAAAGGAAGGGUCGCACUCACAACAAAUAUGGUCAUAGGUGGCACUGUUACAGAUGAUUCAAGUGAUGAAUGGCUUGUUCUGGAUCAGAAGGUGAAUACAUAUCCCACAGACAGAGGAUUUACAGCAAUUGGUACUGGAGGUGAAGAUUUUGUCCAUUCUAUGGUUGAUGCUGUUGAAUCGGUUCUUCAAGAAUCGAUUCCAAAGGGCCAAGUAAGUCAGAAAAUAUCUUCUAGGGGAAAAUAUGUUUCUGUAAAAAUUGGGCCAAUACGCGUGGCUUCAAGUGAGCAGGUCCAGGCUGUAUAUCGCGCCAUGAGAAGAGAUAACAGGAUGAAAUACUUCUUAUGA
rnacentral:rRNA from 1 species